rnacentral:rRNA from 1 species
CACCUUGACGGAUUUCUUCGGAUUGAAGCCUUGGUGACUGAGCGGCGGACGGGUGAGUAACGCGUGGGUAACCUGCCUCAUACAGGGGGAUAACAGUUGGAAACGGCUGCUAAUACCGCAUAAGCGCACAGUACCGCAUGGUACGGUGUGAAAAACUCCGGUGGUAUGAGAUGGACCCGCGUCUGAUUAGGUAGUUGGUGGGGUAACGGCCUACCAAGCCGACGAUCAGUAGCCGACCUGAGAGGGUGACCGGCCACAUUGGGACUGAGACACGGCCCAAACUCC